CAAGCCCAGCAUGUCCCCAUUUAUCAUUAUUGGUAGUACCGUCAACAAGCCAAAUGAGGAGAUGGCCAUUGCUGGGGAAAAUGAGGUUCUCCUCAAAGCUUCUGGAGGCAUUUGAAUGCCUGAUGUGUAUGUAUUACAUUAAUGUAAUGUGCAAUACCCGAAGGUGUGUGUGAACACUUACAUGUUUCUUCAAAGAAGCAUACUUAAAGUAUUUGAUAACCAGAACGUUCCAACCAAAGUAUUAAUUUUGAUGUCAGAACUUAGUAAGAUUACUAAGAUAUAAGCUGACCAUGAACAUGUGGAGAUAUUUACCACUGUAUAUUGUUAAAUUGGCAAUGUAAAUAAUCUUGCAAUAUUUUUCAG
rnacentral:lncRNA from 1 species